ensembl:misc_RNA
AAGCCGCGUAGUGCUUCCGGCCUGAGCCAGAGAAGCUCUGCUGGCGGUGUGACCGGAGGUGGGCUCAGAGGGCGGCGCAGAACUCUUGUUCUGCUGAGAGGCUCUCCCAACAGUUCCUGGCUGCUGUAGGCCCGGCCGGGGUAGAGGCGCACUCGGAGCCGUGUGCCUUGCCUGCUGCCCUGCUCCCGGCUUAGCGAUCGAAA